AUGAGUUUGACAGAAUGCUUCUUCCGCGCGAGAGAGGAGACAUUGUUGAAUACCAAAACUACGUUAACUAAGAUCUGUUAAAAAGUGUAAAUCAAGGGGGUCUUAGGGAGGCGGACAAUAUCGUGCAGCAACGUCACUGUUCAGGAUAUAUAUUUCAGUUUCAUAGCACUGGCAUGGAUUUGACGGCGAAUACAAGCUUUAAGCAUCAUAAACUGGUCGUCCAUGAAAGUUCUAAAAUAUAUAUCAAAACGUUGGAUUGCAUGAACAUAUCUCUGACUUAUAGGGCAAGUAAAUAUACGCAAAUGCUGUUUUUGAGGUGAAAACAAUUUUCUGUUUGGUUGUUGACAACAGAUUUUUAUCAGGCAGUAGCAAGCUUGUCAGCUAAAUAGAUUUAUCGAAAUACUAAUAUCUAAUGCUAUAGUUUCUAGGGUGGAUUCAGAUGACCAUAUUAUUUCCAAGUUUGAAUUUCAUAUAUGCCUGAUAUUCAUUAGCAAAGGACAUACAAUAGAAGAUGGAAGCAAAAUACCAGCAGGACAAAGUGACAUUGUAUCUUUCCACAACAAAACUGGAAAUUUAAUUAUUUCAGACAGAAUAUUUACCAAUUCUGAAGGUAACUGGAACAUUGUUGGCCUUCUAAUAGCAAGUAACAAUGACAUAUCAAAUAUGGCUAGUGAGAAGGCAAAGAUCUUGGUGACAGAGGAACAAAUUUAUCUUUUCUCUCAAGAUCUAGUUUAAACUGCUGAAUUUUCAGCUUGACAAGGGUUUAAAUUAAUUGUAAGAGUUUUAGACGCUCCUUUUGUUAGGCCUGGUUAUAUGGUUAAUUAGGGGAUUAGAUGUUUUAGGACAGCCUGUGGAAUCUAAUGUUAGUCUGGAUUAAGUUUUAUUUGCCAUGUAAGAAAUAUGGGGUUUCAGUGAGGUAAACAGGGAAUAUAAAGCAAAACCUCAAUUUACUUUAGUGUGAGAAGAGGAAUGGGCACCUACUUGGGCUGGCCAAGAGAGAGAAAUCUAAUAGGUCAUUCCCUCUUAUUCCAUUCCCUUCCCUAUUUGUUUCUAUCCUCUUUCUAUUAAAAAUAGAUCAGGAAAGAGUCAUAUUGCUAGAAAUCUACAUCUAGAAAGUUCAAAU
rnacentral:lncRNA from 1 species